AGAGAGAGAGAGAGAGAGAGAGAAUGUGUGCACGCAGAUAUAAGAAGUUGGGGUUGAUGAUCCACAUGAUGGUGAUGGACCAGGACAGCUCUGGACCUCCUGACUGGCAGCUCCAUCCUCAACCUCUCUUCCUGCCCUUCACACAUGUGCAGGCAGCCAGUUUUCUGAAAGAUGGUUGAUGUCAGUACGACCAUGUUGUGAUGGAGGCUUCCACCUGAGCUGAACACAGAAACUUGCACACAGUGAUGGAAGCAGUCGUUCCUGUUCAGCAUCGAUAUGCCAGUAAUGGGUUUGAUGAGCCACAGCAUGGUGAUGGGCAAUCAGCAUCAGGACCAGGGCAGCCCACAAGGAGAACCUCCUGCCCUGCCUCGUCAUCCUCAACCUCCCAUCUCCCUGCUCUUCACACAUGUGCAGGCACGGAGCCAGUUUUCAGAGGGAGGGCUGAUGACACCAGCAACUUUGGUUCUGAACCUGAUCAACCCAGCACCAACCACUGUGCCGCUCCUCCUCUGCCAACUGCACCACAUGGCUCCACCAUCUCAAAAAGGCACAGACACUACUCCACUUCCUGCGAAGGAUGAGAGAAGAGCCGACCGCCCCACAUCGGCACUCACCACCUUCUACAGGGGUGUCAUUGAGAGCAUCCUG